CGCCCAGGUCAAAGGCAUCGGAUGGACGUGUUCUGCAACCCCCUCCGGAGCCGGGUGCGUAGGUUCGAAUCCUACAGGGG
rnacentral:tRNA from 1 species